rnacentral:rRNA from 1 species
AGAGUUUGAUCMUGGCUCAGAACAAACGCUGGCGGCGUGUCUUAAGCAUGCAAGUUGAGCGGCAAGGGGGAGCGAUCCCUCCUAGAGCAGCGGACUGGUGAGUAACGCGUGGGUWAUCUGCCUUGGGCAUGGGGAUAGCCAUUAGAAAUAGUGGGUAAUACCGAAUACGUUCCACGGGGGGAGUGCUUGUGGAAGAAAGGGUGCUASGGCACUGGCCUGAGAUGAGCUCGCGUCCCAUUAGCUAGUUGGUGAGGUAAAGGCCCACCAAGGCGAUGAUGGGUAGCCGGCCUGAGAGGGUGUACGGCCACACUGGGACUGAGAUACGGCCCAGACUCCUACGGGAGGCAGCAGCUAAGAAUAUUCCGCAAUGGACGGAAGUCUGACGGAGCGACGCCGCGUGGAUGAMGAAGGCCGAAAGGUUGUAAAGUUCUUUUGCUGGGGAAGAAUAACCGCAGGAGGGAAUGCCUGUGGGAUGACAAGAACCGGCGAAUAAGCCCCGGCCAACUACGUGCCAGCAGCCGCGGUAACACGUAGGGGGCGAGCGUUGUUCGGAAUUACUGGGCGUAAAGGGCAUGUAGGCGGCUUGGAAAGCCUGGCGUGAAAGUCUGCAGCUUAACUGCAGGGGUGCGCUGGGAACUGCUGAGCUUGAGUGACGGAGAGGGAGCUGGAAUUCCUGGUGUAGGGGUGAAAUCUGUAGAUAUCAGGAAGAACACCGAUGGCGAAGGCAAGCUCCUGGCCGAUGACUGACGCUGAGGUGCGAAAGUGUGGGGAUCAAACAGGAUUAGAUACCCYGGUAGU